AGAACCAAUAAAAAACACGAAAGUCAGAGGAGAGGAGACAUACAUAGCCAGACCAGAGAUUAUUGCAGAAAAAAUCCAGACCACGCCCAAGUCAGUUGAAGCGGCUUCCAGGAGAAAAUAGGUGACGUACACGGAAGGCCAGACCAGAUUGGAGCGACUUGCAGCAGAAAAUAGGACACGCCCAACUCCUCCAUUUAACCAUAUGAUCCCCUUCGUCAGUUGUUGGGACUCAAGAGAGUGUUCCUGAUCAAUUCCAUGUUUAAUUGUUGGACUUUAGUGGAACAGAGUUUGGCUUUGCAGUGACUGAGACUCAAGAAAAUGUAACUUGGGAUUGAUGGAACCCAGUCGGAUAGCUUGCCUGAAACACAACCCCCGUUAUAAGUCAAUGGAGUUGCGGAAAAUCCGGUUGAUGAGAGUAGAAGUAGAGCGCAGUGGCUACCAUCUUUUAAUUCCAUGUUUAAUGUCUACCUUACAUUACGCUUUGUUGAUCUCAUUACAUUCAAUAUGUUCAACCUACAAACUAUGGCACUUUAUCGAUUUAAUGAUGUGGUAGCUUUUGGUACUUUUUUGGGUAAAUGGUACUUUAUCGAGUUUUUUGUUGUCUUCAA